GUUCUUAUAGUUGAGGUAGACAACAAUGGUUUUUCAGACCAUAGACCUUGGAUAGGCUCCAAGUGAGAACU
rnacentral:tRNA from 1 species